UAGGGAAUCUUCCGCAAUGGGCGAAAGCUUGACGGAGCAACGCCGCGUGAGUGAUGAAGGUCUUCGGAUCGUAAAACUCUGUUAUUCGGGAAGAACAAAUGUGUAAGUAACUAUGCACGUCUUGACGGUACCUAAUCAUAAAGCCACGUCUAACUACGUGCCAGCAGCCGCGGUAAUACGUAGGUGGCAAGCGUUAUCCGGAAUUAUUGGGCGUAAAGCGCGCGUAGGCGGUUUUUUAAGUUUGAUGUGAAAGCCCACGGCUCAACCGUGGAGGGUCAUUGGAAACUGGAAAACUUAAGUGCAGAAGAGGAAAGUGGAAUUCCAUGUGUAGCGGUGAAAUGCGCAGAGAUAUGGAGGAACACCAGUGGCGAAGGCGACUUUCUGGUCUGUAACUGACGCUGAUGUGCGAAAGCGUGGUGAUCAAACAGG
rnacentral:rRNA from 1 species